rnacentral:lncRNA from 1 species
CAAGACCCUGAUGAGGCAGGGAAUUCUUUUGAAGAAACACUGUCUUUAGGGGAAAAGCGAUAGUGACCUCUUCCUUUUUAUAGAGUACUUUAUAGAUAUAUAUCUAGCCAGCGUUUCCAAUUCUACAGCUACAAGCUGGGCUCUUCUCUUCGCAUACCGACCUGCUAAUUCCGGGAUUAGCUGUUCUCAAUGACUGGUGGAUGCCUCUUUUCUACCUUAUAAAUCGUUUUUUUUAUGUACCUUCUCCCUCUCUACACCUUUUUUCCGCCUCGCCGCCCAGAAAGACCUAUAGAAGAAGGAAGAAUUCAAUCCG